CAGAAAACGAAGAUUGAUGUUUUAUACCUAAAGUCUUCUACUUUCGAAAUCUGUUUGAUAAAUUGAAAUCGGAUUACCUCCAGAACAUCGAGCCUCACUGUGAAAUAUGAUUUUGCAUAGAGGAAGUAUCUAUCAAUACCAACCAUCGUGCAAAAAAGAAAGAUCCAGCUUCAAGAAUAGUAACGGUUGAGGCCAUUCGACUUCUGGAAGCAAAGGCGUGCCACGCAAGUGUGUCAUCGCAAAAUCUGU